rnacentral:rRNA from 1 species
AGCGAACGCUGGCGGCAGGCUUAACACAUGCAAGUCGAGCGGGCGUAGCAAUACGUCAGCGGCAGACGGGUGAGUAACGCGGGGGAACAUACCUUUUGGUUCGGAACAACACAGGGAAACUUGUGCUAAUACCGGAUAAGCCCUUACGGGGAAAGGAUUUAUCGCCGAAAGAUUGGCCCGCGUCUGAUUAGCUAGUUGGUGAGGUAAUGGCUCACCAAGGCGACGAUCAGUAGCUGGCUGAGAGGAUGAUCAGCCACAUUGGGACUGAGACACGGCCCAAACUCCUACGGGAGGCAGCAGUGGGAAUAUUGGACAAUGGGCGCAAGCCUGAUCCAGCCAUGCCGCGUGAGUGAUGAAGGCCCUAGGGUUGUAAAGCUCUUUUGUGCGGGAAGAUAAUGACGGUACCGCAAGAAU